CCUGGCUGCUGGGGAGCGUACCAGGGUACCUGAGGUGAAGCAGGGCUGGGGAAGGCCAGAAGAGCUGGAAGGCUCCAGACUGGAAAAGCCCCAGGCUGCAGGCCUGGUGGAUGACCUAAGAUAGGUACUGGAGUUUCAGGGGGCAGCCCAAAGGUAGGCAGAGUCAGCAGGUCCAAACCCCCCUUGCCUGUGAUGAUUGGCUUAUACACUGCAGUCUGCCCCAGUGAAUAGGAGCUAGG